UUUCACGCCUUCACUCACUAGUUUCCCACGCAGUGAGCAACCGUUGUAAAUCUCCAAGAAAUCCGAUCAUCUUCCUUCCCAAAACUGAAACCCAAAGUCAGGUACGCUAUUUUCCUCUCCCACUUCUCUUUAUUAUGAUUUUUCUUGUAUUUCGAUCUAUUCAUUACCAUUAAAUCUCAUAUUACAACCGAGUUUUUCAAAAUCUAAGAUUAAAGCCUUUCCGCCUUCACUCCCUGUUUCCCACGAAGUGAGAGCAGCCGCUGUAGAUCUCCCUCAAAAUCGAUCAUCUUCCUUUCCAAAAGGUGAAACCCGAACUCAGUGAGAGCAACCGUUGUCAAGAACCCCUGAAGAAACUCGAUCAUCUUUCUUCCCAAAAGCUGAAACCCUAAGUCAGUGAGAGCAGCUGCUGUAAAUCUCCCUCAAAAUCGAUCAUCUUCCUUUCCAAAAGGUGAAACCCGAACUCAGUGAGAGCAACCGUUGUCAAGAACCCCUGAAGAAACUCGAUCAUCUUUCUUCCCAAAAGCUGAAACCCUAAGUCAGCAGUCAAAUCAUUGGCAAAAACAAACGGAAAAGAAAAACCAUUUGAAGUUGUUAAUUGAACAAUUGUUUUGGAAGAAGGGAGACAACCACUGCAUCAAGGAACUCUGCAAGGAAGUUUAGAAAGCAUAUUGGGUGAAUCUGUUUGUCAUGGUUCCAAUCAAUUAGAUAUGAGGCAGAAUAUGGAGGAUACUAAACUGCAGAAACAAGCUAUGCAGGAAGAGUCUUAUGGGGCAUAGUACUUGGUGCAUCCAAUAGGGCAGGCUUACAAAAAUGUUGUAGGUAGUCAUUUGGAGCCAGUGUUGAUGCUAAUGAAUACGACAAUGACAGUAUAAAGAUGUGAAGUCAUUCAGUAGGUCCUUUCGAAAGGCAAAGUCGUGAAGAACUAAAGAAGUCCAUAAUGGAGCUUAUAGUUCUAGUUUCAAACCAAAUUACACAUCAGCGUAGGUAAGAGCAACGAACCAAUAAAAAAGUUUGGAGGAAAGAGGUUGCUGCCAAGGGGAGCUACAAUCCAAGUGGAUUGGGCAUAAACAACCACUUGGAUUGUAUGUUUAGAAUAAUUUCUCUGAAAUAUUAGUUUUAUUUGAUGAUUAUGUAAAUAUUAAGUCUUUGUAUGGAUUUCUUUCAUGUUAAUACUUUUGGAUGAUGUAAUUAUUAACUGUUGUUUGGUUAGAUCUAGUAAUGUGUAAGAACAGGGUCAUUAUAUUAUGCAUGCCAGCAAAAUGAAAUUUUUUUUUUCUA